GGCUCAGUAGCUCAGUCGGUAGAGCAGGGGAUUGAAAAUCCCCGUGUCGGCGGUUCGAUUCCGUCCUGAGCCA
rnacentral:tRNA from 1 species